rnacentral:RNase_P_RNA from 1 species
UCAGACGGCCGGGCGGCCGCUGGCCCGCGAGCGAUCGCGGGCUGGAGGAAAGUCCGGGCUCCACGGGACUACGGUGCCGGUCAACGACCGGCGGGGGCGACCCCAGGGAAAGUGCCACAGAGAACAGACCGCCCGCGCGCCGCAAGGCCCGCGGGCAAGGGUGAAACGGUGGGGCAAGAGCCCACCGCGCUUCCGGCAACGGCGGCGGCACGGCAAACCCCACCGGGAGCAAGGCCGAAUAGGGGCGGACGGCGAGGCGCCGAAAGGCGCUGACGCAGGGGCGGUCCCGCCCUUCCGCCCGGGUUGGCCGCGCGAAGCCCGCAGCGAUGCGGGUUCCAGAGGAAUGGCCGUCCUUGCCCGGCAACGGGCAUGACAGAACCCGGCUUACAGGCCGUCUGGCGCC